UGGGUGGUAUCUUAAUAGAACCUCACCAGAAUUUUCACAUUUAAUUUUUAGCAACUCAUAUCUAUAUGAAUGAGAUUGAAUU
rfam:Clostridium taeniosporum strain 1/k, complete genome.